rnacentral:rRNA from 1 species
AUUGAACGCUGGCGGCAGGCCUAACACAUGCAAGUCGAGCGGAUGAAGGGAGCUGGCUCCUGGAUUCAGCGGCGGACGGGUGAGUAAUGCCUAAGAAUCUGCCUGGUAGUGGGGGAUAACGUCCGGAAACGGGCGCUAAUACCGCAUACGUCCUGAGGGAGAAAGUGGGGGAUCUUCGGACCUCACGCUAUCAGAUGAGCCUAGGUCGGAUUAGCUAGUUGGUGGGGUAAAGGCCUACCAAGGCGACGAUCCGUAACUGGUCUGAGAGGAUGAUCAGUCACACUGGAACUGAGACACGGUCCAGACUCCUACGGGAGGCAGCAGUGGGGAAUAUUGGACAAUGGGCGAAAGCCUGAUCCAGCCAUGCCGCGUGUGUGAAGAAGGUCUUCGGAUUGUAAAGCACUUUAAGUUGGGAGGAAGGGCAGUAAGUUAAUACCUUGCUGUUUUGACGUUACCAACAGAAUAAGCACCGGCUAACUUCGUG